UACGUAGGUGGCAAGCGUUAUUCGGAUUUACUAGGCGUAAAGGACAGGUAGGUGGUUGGGUAAGUUGAAAGUGAAAUCCCCAGUUAAACCUGGGAGGGUCUUUCAAGACUGCUCGGCUUGAGUGUAGGAGGGGGAAUCGGAAUUCCUGGUGUAGCGGUGAAAUGCGUAGAUAUCAGGAGGAACACCGAUGGCGAAAGCGGAUUCCUAGCCUACUACUGACACUGAUCUGUGAAGGCGCGGGGAGC
rnacentral:rRNA from 1 species